UACGGAGGGUGCGAGCGUUGUCCGGAAUCAUUGGGCGUAAAGGGCGCGCAGGUGGCCCGGUCAGUUCGUGGUGAAAGCGCGGGGCUCAACCCUGCGUCGGCCAUGAAUACUGCCGCGGCUGGAGCACUGUAGAGGCAGGCGGAAUUCCGGGUGUAGCGGUGGAAUGCGUAGAGAUCCGGAAGAACACCGGUGGCGAAGGCGGCCUGCUGGGCAGUUGCUGACACUGAGGCGCGACAGCGUGGGGAGCAAACAGG
rnacentral:rRNA from 1 species